AAUCAACGCUGGCGGCGUGCCUCAGACAUGCAAGUCGAACGAUUAAACUUUCCUUCGGGAAAGAUAUAAAGUGGCGCACGGGUGAGUAACACGUAAGUAAUCUACCCUCGAGUGGGGAAUAACGUUCGGAACGGACGCUAAUACCGCAUAAUGCAGCGGCACCGCAAGGUGACAGUUGUUAAAGAUUUAUCGCUUGAGGAGGAGCUUGCGGCAGAUUAGCUAGUUGGUAAGGUAACGGCUACCUAAGGCUACGAUCUGUAACCGUCUAAGAGGACGGUCGGUCACACUGACACUGAAUAACGGGUUAG
rnacentral:rRNA from 1 species